GACUGUCUCAUUUUNUUUGUAUUAAAAUUUAAUUUUUUGGUCAAAAAGCUAAAAUUUUAUUGGAAGACGAGAAGACCCUAUAGAUCUUUAUAUAGUUGAAUUUAAUCAGUUUUAUAUUAUUAUGAUUAUUGUUAACUGUAUUUUAUUGGGGUGAUAAAAAUANUAANUAACUUUUUUAUUUAUUUNACAUUGAUUUAUGAAUAUUAGAUCUUUUANUNUUGAUUGNUAGAUUAANUUCCCNUAGGGAUNACAGCGUAAUCCUCUUCCAGAGUNCAUAUUUACAAGGAGGGCUUGCGACCUCGAUGUUGGAUUAAGAUNAUAGUUAGGUGUAGCUGCUNANUUGAUNGGNUCUGUUCCACCUUUAAAUUCUNNCAUGAUCNGAG
rnacentral:rRNA from 1 species